rnacentral:rRNA from 1 species
GAUGAACGCUGGCGGCGUGCCUAAUACAUGCAAGUCGAGCGAACGGACGAGAAGCUUGCUUCUCUGAUGUUAGCGGCGGACGGGUGAGUAACACGUGGAUAACCUACCUAUAAGACUGGGAUAACUUCGGGAAACCGUAGCUAAUACCGGAUAAUAUUUUGAACCGCAUGGUUCAAAAGUGAAAGACGGUCUUGCUGUUACUUAUAGAUGGAUCCGCGCUGCAUUAGCUAGUUGGUAAGGUAACGGCUUACCAAGGCAACGAUGCAUAGCCGACCUGAGAGGGUGAUCGGCCACACUGGAACUGAGACACGGUCCAGACUCCUACGGGAGGCAGCAGUAGGGAAUCUUCCGCAAUGGGCGAAAGCCUGACGGAGCAACGCCGCGUGAGUGAUGAAGGUCUUCGGAUCGUAAAACUCUGUUAUUAGGGAAGAACAUAUGUGUAAGUAACUGUGCACAUCUUGACGGUACCUAAUCAGAAAGCCACGGCUAACUACGUG